ensembl:lncRNA
AUGGUUCCAGACAUUCAACAUUCUACAGAACACAGGUCCAGACAUUCAACAUUCUACAGAACACAGGUCCAGACAUUCUACAUUCUACAGAACACAGGUCCAGACAUUCUACAGAACAUAGGUCCAGACAUUCUACAUUCUACAGAACACAGGUCCAGACAUUCUACAGAACACAGGUCCAGACAUUCUACAGAACACAGGUCCAGACAUUCUACAGAACACAGGUCCAGAUAUUCUACAGAACACAGAUCCAGACAUUCUACAGAACACAGAUCCAGACAUUCUCCAUUCUACAGAAAAUGGUUCCAGACAUUCAACAUUCUACAGAACACAGGUCCAGACAUUCUACAGAACACAGGUCCAGACAUUCUACAGAACACAGGUCCAGACAUUCUACAGAACACAGGUCCAGACAUUCUCCAUUCUACAGAAAAUGGUUCCAGACAUUCAACAUUCUACAGAACACAGGUCCAGACAUUCUACAGAACACAGGUCCAGACAUUUUACAGAACACAGGUCCAGACAUUCUACAGAACACAGAUCCAGACAAUCUCCAUUCUACAGAUAAUGGUUCCAGACAUUCAACAUUCUACAGAACACUGGUCCAGACAUUCUACAUUCUACAGAACACAGGUCCAGACAUUCUACAGAACACAGGUCCAGACAUUCUACAGAACACAGAUCCAGACAUUCAACAUUCUACAGAACACUGGUCAAGACAUUCUACAUUCUACAGAACACAGGUCCAGACAUUCUACAGAACACAGGUCCAGACAUUCUACAGAACACAGGUCCAGACAUUCUACAGAACACAGGUCCAGACAUUCUACAGAACACAGGUCCAGACAUUCGACAGAACACAGAUCCAGACAUUCUCCAUUCUACAGAAAAUGGUUCCAGACAUUCAACAUUCUACAGAACACAGGUCCAGACAUUCUACAGAACACAGGUCCAGACAUUCUACAGAACACAGGUCCAGACAUUCUACAGAACACAGGUCCAGACAUUCUACAGAACACAGGUCCAGACAUUCUCCAUUCUACAGAAAAUGGUUCCAGACAUUCAACAUUCUACAGAACACAGGUCCAGACAUUCUACAGAACACAGGUCCAGACAUUCUACAGAACACAGGUCCAGACAUUCUACAGAACACAGAUCCAGACAUUCGACAGAACACAGAUCCAGACAUUCUCCAUUCUACAGAUAAUGGUUCCAGACAUUCUCCAUUCUACAGAUAAUGGUUCCAGACAUUCAACAUUCUACAGAACACUGGUCCAGACAUUCUACAUUCUACAGAACACUGGUCCAGACAUUCUACAUUCUACAGAUAAUGCUUCCGGACAUUCGACAUUCUACGGAACACUGGUCCAGACAUUCUACGGAACACAGGUCCAGACAUUCUACAUUCUACGGAACACUGGUCCAGACAUUCUCCAUUCUACAGAUAAUGGUUCCAGACAUUCUCCAUUCUACAGAACACUGGUCCAGACAUUCUACAUUCUUCAGAACAUUGGUCCAGACAUUCUGAAGAACACUGGUCCAGACAUUCUACAGAACACUGGUCCAGACAUUCUAUAG